CGAGCGAUUUACUUCGGUAAAGAGCGGCGGACGGGUGAGUAACGCGUGGGUCACCUGCCCUGUACACACGGAUAACAUACCGAAAGGUAUGCUAAUACGAGAUAAAAUACUUUUAUCGCAUGGUAGAAGUAUCAAAGCUUUUGCGGUACAGGAUGGACCCGCGUCUGAUUAGCUAGUUGGUAAGGUAACGGCUUACCAAGGCGACGAUCAGUAGCCGACCUGAGAGGGUGAUCGGCCACAUUGGAACUGAGACACGGUCCAAACUCCUACGGGAGGCAGCAGUGGGGAAUAUUGCACAAUGGGCGAAAGCCUGAUGCAGCAACGCCGCGUGAGCGAUGAAGGCCUUCGGGUCGUAAAGCUCUGUCCUCAAGGAAGAUAAUGACGGUACUUGAGGAGGAAGCCCCGGCUAACUACGUGCCAGCAGCCGCGGUAAUACGUAGGGGGCUAGCGUUAUCCGGAAUUACUGGGCGUAAAGGGUGCGUAGGUGGUUUCUUAAGUCAGAGGUGAAAGGCUACGGCUCAACCGUAGUAAGCCUUUGAAACUGGGAAACUUGAGUGCAGGAGAGGAGAGUGGAAUUCCUAGUGUAGCGGUGAAAUGCGUAGAUAUUAGGAGGAACACCAGUUGCGAAGGCGGCUCUCUGGACUGUAACUGACACUGAGGCACGAAAGCGUGGGGAGCAAACAGGAUUAGAUACCCUGGUAGUCCACGCCGUAAACGAUGAUCACUAGGUGUCGGUGGGUAUGGACCCAUCGGUGCCGCAGCCAACGCAGUAAGUGAUCCACCUG
rnacentral:rRNA from 1 species